AUUGAACGCUGUCGGCAGGCCUAACACAUGCAAGUCGCGCGAACGGCGGACUGGUGAAUAAUUUAUGAGGAUCUGCCCGAUAGAGGGGGCUAACUACUGGACCCGGUGGCUACUACCGCAUACUAUCGGAUGACCCCAUAUGGGAUUAGCUAGUAUGUGUGGUAAAGGCUCACCUAGGCGACGAUCGCUAGCGUGUCUGACAGGAUGAUCAGCCACACUGGGACUGAGACACGGCCCAGACUCCUACGGGAGGCAGCAGUGGGGAAUAUUCCACAAUGGGAGAAAGCCUGAUGCAGCAAUGCCGCGUGUAUGAAGAAGGCCUUAGGGUGGUAAAGUACUUUCAGCGUGGAGGCGUUACCCGCAGAAGAAGCACCGGCUAACUCCGUGCCAGCAGCCGCGGUAAUUC
rnacentral:rRNA from 1 species